UACGGAGGAUCCGAGCGUUAUCCGGAUUUAUUGGGUUUAAAGGGUGCGUAGGCGGUUUGAUAAGUUAGAGGUGAAAUGUCGGGGCUCAACCCCGAAACUGCCUCUAAUGCUGUUGGACUAGAGAAUAGUUGCGGUAGGCGGAAUGUAUGGUGUAGCGGUGAAAUGCUUAGAGAUCAUACAGAACACCGAUUGCGAAGGCAGCUUACCAAACUAUAUCUGACGUUGAGGCACGAAAGCGUGGGUAGCAAACAGG
rnacentral:rRNA from 1 species